rnacentral:lncRNA from 1 species
AGAACAUUAGGUGUGACUCCGACACUUCUUGAGUGUCAAAGCUGAUCCGGGACUGUUCAGAAGCUUUCUCCAACAGGGCUGCGGGCACAUGUGGGGAGCAGUCGCCCGUGACGGAUGGGGCCUCAUUGUGCAAGGAGAAGCAGAUGUGGAGAAAAGGGAGCUGUUAUACUGAACACCUGUCCAGCAAUCGGGAUCCCCAAAAAAGAAUUGAC